rnacentral:rRNA from 1 species
GUGAGGUAACGGCUCACCAAGGCUCUGACGGGUAGCUGGUCUGAGAGGACGAUCAGCCACACUGGGACUGAGACACGGCCCAGACUCCUACGGGAGGCAGCAGCAGGGAAUAUUGCACAAUGGGCGAAAGCCUGAUGCAGCGACGCCGCGUGAGGGAUGAAGGCCUUCGGGUCGUAAACCUCUUUCAGGAGGGACGAAGCGCAAGUGACGGUACCUCCAGAAGAAGCCCCGGCCAACUACGUGCCAGCAGCCGCGGUAAUACGUAGGGGGCGAGCGUUGUCCGGAUUCAUUGGGCGUAAAGAGCUCGUAGGCGGCUCAGCAAGUCGGCCGUGAAAGCCCGGGGCUCAACCCCGGGACGCCGGUCGAAACUGCUGUGGCUAGGGUCCGGUAGAGGAGAGUGGAAUUCCCGGUGUAGCGGUGAAAUGCGCAGAUAUCGGGAGGAACACCAGUAGCGAAGGCGGCUCUCUGGGCCGGUACCGACGCGGAGGAGCGAAAGCUAGGGGAGCAAACAGGAUUAGAUACCCUGGUAGUCCUAGCCGUAAACGAUGGGCACUAGGUGUGGCGGAUACAUUGACGUCUGCCGUGCCGAAGCUAACGCAUUAAGUG